rnacentral:rRNA from 1 species
GACGGGGGGAUGCAAGUGUUAUCCGGAAUCACUGGGCGUAAAGCGUCUGCAGGUGGUUUCCUAAGUCCACUGUUAAACCUUGAGGCUCAACCUCAAAUCUGCAUUGGAAACUAGGAGACUUGAGUAUAGUAGGGGUAGAGGGAAUUUUCCAGUGGAGCGGUGAAAUGCGUAGAUAUUGGAAAAGAACACCGAUGGCGAAGGCACUCUACUGGGCUAUUACUGACACUCAGAGACGAAAGCUAGGGGAGCAAAUGGG